AAUUGUGUCGGGUACUCGGGGGACCUUUGUAAUCUCAUGGAAUAUUGGACGCAGCUGGACGCAGCUACUAAACGAAGCCGCUCAGCUUAUUGUAACCCUGUAGCAUCUUUGGUUAAGAUAUAAGAGAAGUCUUACAAGAACGUUUCGACUCUAAUUUGCUCAUCUUCAGCUAUCGCGAGGAACAAUGUUACAUAUUUAUGUAUGUGGACUUCUUCCUGGUUGAGCAAUCUACCGGUUCCAAAACCAAGGGCAAGAUUUCACUGGUUGCCUUUCCAGUGACCAUUCCCUUUUCAUGGAGGAUUACUUUGCGUUCAUUAAAGAAGCCUUGCACGAUGUCACAUUAAUUAAUAGGACUAUACAAAAUUAAUCUUGUGUCACACUUGUAUGAUCACGUUCUCAUUAUGACCUGUCGUUCUGAAUUGACAAUUUAGAAAGUAUCACUUCGGUGUUAUUUUGGUUAUUUUGAAUAAUUUUAUCUAUCUUUUUUCUUCCCUAUUUUUGUUUAAUUUACUCAUUUUUUAUUUAUCUUUUUAUUUAAUUUACGUUUAUUUGUUUAGAAAAUGGAUACAGCUGUAUAUAGGACAAGACGUCGAGUGUUGUUGCUGGCUCUAUUAUAUAUAAGAAGAAAGAAAAAAAGAAAUAAGAAUGUAUCAAAUAGAAGAUUUUGGAUACAUCCAAUACUACGAUUAAAACAACAGCAAGGAGAUUGGAAUAAUUUGAUUCAUGAAAUGCGUUUACAAAAUGACAACAUGUACUUCAAUUACAUGAGGAUGCCACCCACAAUGUUUGAUUAUAUAUUAUCAAGAGUUGGGCCUCUUAUAACAAAACAAGAAACAAAUUGGAGAGUACCGAUUCCAGCAUGUGCAAGAUUGUCUAUGACUUUACGGUAUUUAGCAAGUGGAGAUUCACUUCAAUCUAAUGCAUGGAACUAUCGAAUCGGACGAAGCACAGCAUCAAGAAUAAUAAAAGAAACGUGUGAAGCAAUAUGGGAAUGUUUUCAUAAAGACCAAUUAUUUACUCCAACACAAGAUGGAUGGCGCGAAAUAGCUCAUGAAUUUCAAGAACACUGGAACUUUCCUAAUUGUAUUGGUGCUUUGGAAAGCACGUUGAAAUAAUCUGUCUUGAACAUUCUGGAAGUGCAUACUUUAACUAUAAAUCAUUUUACAGUAUAAUUUUAUUAGCACUUGUUUCUGCUACUUAUAAAUUCUUAAUUGUGGAUAUUGGUGCGCAAGGUAGGCACAGUGAUGGGGGAAUUUUUAAAAAUUCUAUAAUGGGACAAAGAUUCUAUAACAAUACAAUGAAUUUGCCUGAACCCUCUCCUAUUAGCAACAGACAUACUGUACCAUAUGUUAUAGUAGCUGAUGAAGCUUUUCAACUACAAACGUUUACUAUGAGACCAUAUCCUUCGAAAAAUUUAAACAAAGAGCAACGAAUAUUUAACUAUAGACUAAGUAGAGCUCGACGAGUUGUGGAAAAUGCAUUCGGCAUAUUGACAAGUCGAUGGCGUAUUUAUCAGAAGCCAAUAAAUACUAGCCUUGAAACAGUUGAUGCCAUAAUCAAAGCGACAAUUUGUUUGCAUAAUCUUUUAAUGAAUGAAUCAUUUUAUUGUGUAGCUAGUUAUGCCGAUAGAACAUCUAUAAAUGGAGAAAUACUCGAAGGAGAUUGGAGAAGAACAAAUUUUAAUUGUUUUAAUGAUGCAAAUAAUACAAGUUUUGCCAGUAAUAAUUACACAAGACGUGCUAAUGAAAUUAGAAAUAUCUUCACUGAUUAUUUUAUGAAUGAGGGUCAGGUUCCUUGGCAAGAUGAAGUAAUAUUCAAAAAUUAAUGUACACAAAUUUUUUUGAAGUUCUAAAAGUUGUCACCAGCUUCGUUAAAAGGAUGUAGGAUUCGCUAUUGAAGUUCUCAAAAUUAUGCAAGGCCCUACAUUCAGAGUGAACGCAAUAAUUUUCGAUAAAUAAUGCAGCAGUAUGGUAUCAUGCGCAGACGAUAAAGUAUUAAAUAUAAUUAAAGUUCGAAUAAGUAUGAUAUGUUUACGUCUUACAAAUUUUUGGUACAUUAUGUUUUCUUAAAAACAAUUAUUUUUAUUAUUCUAGUAACAUGUUUACAUAUCACAAAUCUUUAGUACAUUAUGUACUCUUAAAAAUAAUCUUCAUUAUUCCACGUUUACAUAUCACAAAUCUUUAGUACAUUAUGUACUCUUAAAAAUAAUCUUCAUUAUUCCACGUUUACAUAUCAUAUAUCUUUAGUACAUUAUGAUGUACUCUUAAAAAUAACUAUCAUUAUUGUUUCACUAAAUUUAUAAACUAAAUAUAUCUGUAUGUAUAUUAAAAUGACAAGUUAUAUUCUAAACUUCUUAAAAACAAUUAUACUUUAAAAUUAAAAUAACUUUAUAAUAGCUUUAUAAUACUGUAUUCCAAAAUGUUAAAGAAAAACAUUUUAUAAGUCUUCUUCCAUAAGUAUUUGUGAGAUUCUGUUAAUUAUGCGUUUGGAAGUGUCCGGAAGCAUUCCUCGAAGACACGCUUCAACAUAUUUUACAAAAGUUUCAAUUUUAUCCGGUUUUGUGUGAGGAAGUUCAUUUAUCGGUCUUGUUUUUUGUAAUUCUUGUAUAAUAGCUUCUUCUACACGAUUAUCUAUAUUUUCUAGUUUUGAUUUUCCUAUAGAAAAAACAAAAUAUAUUGAUAUUUUUUCUUAUUCAUUUCUUCUUCUAUAAGUAAGUCUUUUUAUAACAAAUGGUUAAAAUUAUAAUUGAAACGUUUACAAAUAAAUAAUGUACUCAAUUUUAA